rnacentral:lncRNA from 1 species
UUCAGUGAAAGAGCAGGCCAGGGGGCUGCCGGCACUAGGAGCCAAAGAGAGUGCAGCCCCUCUAAGCUGGCAACGCUUGCAUUUAUUUAGCACAGAUUUAAUUAACAAAGGCUUUGAGUCAACACACCUGUGGGUAAUUAACCUGGUCACCGCCCCCCGCCACCUCCCUGGAGAGGGCCAUCUUGCCCGAGAAUGAUCAAAGGUUGAUUUUAGGACCAUAUGACUAAGCAAGCUAUUUAGAUAAAAUACUCCGCAUUCCUUUGUAUCUGCGCCCUAAGCUGUUUGGCUCCUGAAAAGAGAAUCUGGCUGCUUUCAGCCAAACUAUCUGAAGCUAUGCCAACCUCCCUGGCCUUCCAAGAAGGUUUGCUGCUUCCUAUUCCUAUAAUUUCUUCUGCUACUCUGACUGAUCUCCCACACUUGGGAGGUUGAGGCAGGAGAAUCCCUUGAACCAGGGAGGCAGAGGUUGCAGUGAGCCGAGAUCACACUACUGCACUCCAACUUGGGUGACAAGAGCGAGACUCCAUCUCAGAAAAAAAAGUUAAAAAAAAAUUGUAGGCCAGGCGUGGUGGCUCACGCCUGUGAUCCCAGCACUUUGGGAGGCCAAGGCGGGUGGAUCACCUGAGGUCCAGAGUUCGAGACCAGCCUGACCAACAUGGAGAAACCCCGUCUCUUCUAAAAAUAUAAAAUUAGCCAGGCGUGGUGGCGCAUGCCUGUAAUCCCAGCUGCUCUGGAGGCUGAGGCAGGAGAAUGGCUUGAGCCCAGGAGGCGGAGGUUGCGGUGAG